rnacentral:rRNA from 1 species
GACAGAGGGUGCUAGCGUUGUUCGGAAUUACUGGGCGUAAAGGGCGCGUAGGCGGCUCGUUUAGUCGGGUGUGAAAUCCCGGGGCUCAACCCCGGAACUGCAUUCGAUACUGGCGGGCUAGAGACCGGAAGAGGUGGGUGGAAUACCCAGUGUAGAGGUGAAAUUCGUAGAUAUUGGGUGGAACACCGGUGGCGAAGGCGGCUCACUGGUCCGGUUCUGACGCUGAGGCGCGAAAGCGUGGGUAGCGAACAGG